AGUGAACGCUGGCGGUAGGCCUAACACAUGCAAGUCGAACGGCAGCACAGAGGAGCUUGCUCCUUGGGUGGCGAGUGGCGGACGGGUGAGGAAUACAUCGGAAUCUACUCUGUCGUGGGGGAUAACGUAGGGAAACUUACGCUAAUACCGCAUACGACCUACGGGUGAAAGCAGGGGAUCUUCGGACCUUGCGCGAUUGAAUGAGCCGAUGUCGGAUUGGCUAGUUGGCGGGGUAAAGGCCCAACAAGGCGACGAUCCGUAGCUGGUCUGAGAGGAUGAUCGGCCACACUGGAACUGAGACACGGUCCAGACUCCUACGGGAGGCAGCAGUGGGGAAUAUUGGACAAUGGGCGCAAGCCUGAUCCAGCCAUACCGCGUGGGUGAAGAAGGCCUUCGGGUUGUAAAGCCCUUUUGUUGGGAAAGAAAUCCAUCUGGUUAAUACCCGGGUGGGAUGACGGUACCCAAAGAAUAAGCACCGGCUAACUUCGUGCCAGCCGCCGCCGUAA
rnacentral:rRNA from 1 species